AACGCACAUUGCACCUCUCGGUAAUCCUUGAGGUAUACUUGUUCGAGCGCCGUUUAAAACUUAAGGCUUUGCCUUGUGUUGAUAUUUUUGUCUGUUAUUAGACAAUAUCUAAAAUCAUUGGCAUCUGUUUUUGAACCAUAUCACAGUGAAAAUGUGAUUAUGUGUUGUCAAAAUAAAGAUUUGGCCCGUGCACUCUUUAAACUUCAUGGCCUCGGAUCAAGUAGGGAUACCCGCUGAACUUAA
rnacentral:misc_RNA from 1 species